GAUGAACGCUAGCGAUAGGCCUAACACAUGCAAGUCGAGGGGCAGCACAUGAGUAGCAAUACGAUGGUGGCGACCGGCGCACGGGUGAGUAACACGUAUGCAACCUACCUUUAACAGGGGAAUAACCCGUUGAAACACGGACUAAUACUCCAUAACACAGGGGUCCCGCAUGGGAAUAUUUGUUAAAGAUUUAUCGGUUGAAGAUGGGCAUUCGUUCCAUUAGCUUGUUGGUGAGGUAACGGCUCACCAAGGCCACGAUGGAUAGGGGAACUGAGAGGUUUAUCCCCCACACUGGAACUGAGACACGGUCCAGACUCCUACGGGAGGCAGCAGUGAGGAAUAUUGGUCGAUGGAGGCAACUCUGAACCAGCCAAGUCGCGUGAAGGAUGAAGGUCUUAUGGAUUGUAAACUUCUUUUGCGAGGGAAUAAAGUGGGGGACGUGUCCUCCUUUGCAUGUACCUUGCGAAUAAGGAUCGGCUAACUCCGUGCCAGCCGCCGCCGUAA
rnacentral:rRNA from 1 species